UGCAAUCUGUGAUGCAAAUUACCCACACUUUCUGAUUUAACUGUGAUUAUUGUUUAAAAAUCACCAUCUUUCGGCUGAGGUUGCA